AACUAUAUGGAAACUUAGCAACAACACAUCAUUCAGAGAUGUCAGCAACAGAUUCGAUAUGGCAAUGGGAAUCAGCUAUAAACUAUUUAUUAGAACCCUAAAAACAAUUUGUUGCUUAAAAAAAGAUGUCAUAAAAUUCCCAAAUACUGUUGCAGAACAAAAACAAAAAUGUGUCGAAUUUUCAGCUAAACGCAGCCAUCCGUUCCCAUAUGUCAUAGGUUGUAUAGAUGGUACGCACAUUUCCAUCUCACAACCAGUUAAGGACAGUAUUAGUUUUUAUAAUAGGAAGGGGAAGUUUUCAAUUGUUGUCCAAGCAAUUGUGGAUAGUCAUCUUAAGUUCAUAGAUGUGUUUAUUGGCUGCCCCGGACGAUGCCACGAUGCUGCUAUAUGGGAAAUGAGUCCUAUUAGAAAGUCAAUAGUCAAGGGAGAAUUAAAAAUUUGUUCCGGUUACCAUUUAUUAGGCGAUUCCGCAUAUCCGCUGGAAGCCUUCCUAAUGGUACCUUAUAGAGACAAUGGUUUUUUAUCACCUAAAGAAGUUCAAUAUAACAAAAUUUUAUGCUCAACAUGAGUUCAUAUAGAACAGGCAUUUGGAAUAUCGAAAAAAAAAUUCCGUAUUUUGAAAUAUAUUGAUGUGCUACAUGCACAUUUACCAAAAACUAUCACGAUGGCCUGUAUAAUUCUUCAUAAUAUUAUUAACGAAAAUGAGACUGAUGAACCCUGCGUCAUAAGUGAAGAAGAACAAAUUGAACCAUUUAAUAUCGAAAAUAGCUUUUCACAAUUACCAACUACAAGUCGACAGAGAGAACAAACCAAAAAUAAACGGGACGCCAUUGCCACUUUACUAUCUGCAUAAGUAAUGAAAUAUUAACUGUUUUUUUAAGUAAUAAAACAUGAAUUUGAUAUAAAACUA